rnacentral:rRNA from 1 species
UGGGGAAUCUUGCGCAAUGGGCGAAAGCCUGACGCAGCGACGCCGCGUGCGGGAAGAAGGCCUUCGGGUUGUAAACCGCUUUCAGGAGGGACGAAGCCACUCGGGUUAAUAGCCCAGAGGGUGACGGUACCUCCAGAAGAAGCCCCGGCUAACUACGUGCCAGCAGCCGCGGUAAUACGUAGGGGGCAAGCGUUGUCCGGAUUUAUUGGGCGUAAAGCGCGUGUAGGCGGCCGAAUAGGUCGGUUGUGAAAACUGAAGGCUUAACCUCCAGACGUCGACCGAAACCAUUUGGCUAGAGUCCGGAAGAGGAGAGUGGAAUUCCUGGUGUAGCGGUGAAAUGCGCAGAUAUCAGGAAGAACACCCGUGGCGAAGGCGGCUCUCUGGGACGGUACUGACGCUGAGACGCGAAAGCGUGGGGAGCGAACAGGAUUAGAUACCCUGGUAGUCCACGCCGUAAACGAUGGGUGCUGGGUGUGGGUGGUGUCGACUCCAUCCGUGCCGAAGCUAACGCAUUAAGCAUUCCGCCUGGGGA